AUUUACAGGAAAGGAAUUUCCAGGCGGAUUUAUAAUUCCCGGACACGUACGGACGCAUCUGGUGCUUCAGUAUAUUCAAAAUAUAGAGGGGGGACUCGGGGCUGUGUUGAAGUAUUCCAAAAUGCAAAAACUUUUCGCGGUUAAUCCAAGAGUUGUUUCGUAUUAAAAUAGUUUUUCCUUUUAACACUUUAAUGCGGAACCAAAUAAAAUUCACGCUCUUCUUUUC